rnacentral:rRNA from 1 species
CAGUAGCCGCGGGAAAACGGAGGGUGCAAGCGUUAAUCGGAAUUACUGGGCGUAAAGCGCACGCAGGCGGUCUGACAAGUCAGAUGUGAAAUCCCCGGGCUUAACCUGGGAACUGCAUUUGAAACUGUCAGGCUGGAGUCUUGUAGAGGGGGGUGGAAUUCCAGGUGUAGCGGUGAAAUGCGUAGAGAUCUGGAGGAAUACCGGUGGCGAAGGCGGCCCCCUGGACAAAGACUGACGCUCAGGUGCGAAAGCGUGGGGAGCAAACAGGAUUAGAUACCCGCGUAGUCCCUGUCUCUUAUAA